rnacentral:lncRNA from 1 species
UCAGUUAAAUCCAGCAAGGAUUGUGAGUCAGAGCCUCUGUAUUCAUAACAAAUGAGCUCAAACAAAGCGAAACACUGCUUCUCAAAUUAAGCCUAUGCACGCAAGGUGCAAACCAGAGCUGAGCAGGGGCUCAUGGCUUCCAAGAACAAGCCAAGCUCAGCAGCCGUGGCAGGAAGUCUGUGAGAGCCACACCGCAGCAGAUCCACUGCCAGGAGAAACCAAGCUGUGGAACCAUUGUCCAGUGUCAUCUAAUCCAUGGAAGGACCUGGAGGAUCAUCCUGCCCUGACACUGAGACAUGCAAAUGAACUGGAGCUCUUCUGGGAAUGUCUGGCAGGCUCUGCAAUGAAGCAGGAUGAAGAAGGUGGACAAGCCUACUGAAUGAGCUGAGCCUCAACCAAGUCCUUGACAGAGCGCCCCAGGUCUGAUAAAUAUCCUAAAUGACUCCUUCCCCGUGGAUGGCCAUCACAGACUAGAAAGGCAAUGGCACAACACAAUAUCUGGUGUAAACCUCCUGCUGUGUGUUUAACUAUCCUAACCCCAAUGAGCUUCAGUCCUUUUUUGUGGACUCCCAACCACCUCCUGUAAGAGGAUGGAGUCAAUGAACCACACCCGCUACAACAUUUUAACCAUCUAGCCUUUCCUUUCCAUCCCUGCAGCCAAACCACUUACACACACCUAAUCGCUGCUCUCUCAGCUACUGCAGUCUUCCUCACAGGACAGUUUUCUCUUUUCAUGGGACUUUCAGGACAUUGCUGACAAAAUCAUACCUCUUAUGCUUGCUGUGGCAUUUAUUGGCCUGUUUCCUCAUUGUUCUCUGAAGAGGUCUGAUGUCCUAGUUUUGAAGACCUUCUGCUGUGCAGCUCUUCUCACUAAAUCUAACAUAGUCUCUCUGCCUUGUUCUUUCCACUCAGUCACU